rnacentral:rRNA from 1 species
UACGUAGGUGGCAAGCGUUGUCCGGAUUUAUUGGGCGUAAAGCGCGCGCAGGCGGUCCUUUAAGUCUGAUGUGAAAUCUUGCGGCUCAACCGCAAGCGGUCAUUGGAAACUGGGGGACUUGAGUACAGAAGAGGAGAGUGGAAUUCCUGGUGUAGCGGUGAAAUGCGCAGAUAUCAGGAAGAACACCCGUGGCUAAGGCGGCUCUCUAGUACGGUACUGACGCUGAGACGCGAAAGCGUGGGGAGCGAACAGG